AAGUCGUAACAAGGUUUCCGUAGGUGAACCUGCGGAAGGAUCAUUAACAUCUUCUUUUGGAUUGAUUUAUUAAGGGUGGUAUGGUGGGGGUUUCUUUAGAAGCUCUCAUCUGCCACUUCCACCCCACUUGUGUGCAUUUGCAGUGUUGAGUUGGAUUGUGAUGGUGGAAACACCUCGCUUUCUCUCUCUCUACUCUUUUAUCUCAUUCCCAUUAAACCCCAUUCCUUUUCAACACUUGUCUGAACACAAACACCUUUUUUCUCACUUACAAUGAGGAAAAAACCAAUCAGCAUACAACUCUUAGCAACGGAUAUCUAGGCUCUC
rnacentral:misc_RNA from 1 species